rnacentral:lncRNA from 1 species
GGUGGAGUCCCAUCUUUAAAAACUAAACAGGCAUUUUGGACAACACAUUCUUGGCAAGGUAAUCUGGAUGACAUUUAUCAGACACUGUAGGGAAAGCUCUUUCAGCAUUUGUAAAAAGAACAGCCAAAUAAUGGUUACAGAAGUAAGACUGCAGACUUUAACAAACUGUUUAAAUUGUUCUCUUACAGAGUCUGUCUCCACUGCCAGAGAGCUUGAAUGACCUUUUGGUCCUCCGUCCUGAAGCAAUUCUUAACAUAGUUGGCAAAUUUGGGCUCCAGCUUAGGAAGGGAACAACCCUUGUCUACGGAGGCCUGCAUUUUUGCUUUGAUCUCCUCUAACGACAGAGGAACUUUCGGUGUUUUUGGAGUUAGAGAUUUGUCCUUCUUGGAAUCUGGAGUUUUUGUUUUAGAUGCUGGUGUGGACGGCUUUGAGUCUUUUCCAUUUUGCUUUGCUUUCUGCAUAUUUUUUCCUGCAGGCUCGCGGGCAGGUUUCUUCAUUGGUGUUUUAAUCUCCUCCUCAUCAUCAUCCAAGUCGUCUUCAUCAUCCUCAUCAUCAUCCUCAUCUUCAUCAUCGUCCUCAUCAUCUUCUGAUAAUUUUGGUUUUUUCUGUGGUGUUUUAGCUCCUCCUCCACUUGCUGGUCUCUUUGUUGAAGCAUUCCCUAUUUUUGUAUCCUCCUCCUCAUCCUCUGAUUCUGGCUCUUCCUCUACAAGAUGCUGACCACUGACAUAAACAGGCCCCGAACCACAUUUUAACCUCAGGACAACUGGUGGUGUGAUCUCAAAUCCACCUAGUGAAACUGUAGGCUGCACAGACAUUUUCAGAGAUGCCAGUACUACUUUAGUUGGGUUGCCUUCGUAGUCCAGUGCUUCUGCUUCUACAACAUGUAAUUCGUCUUUGGCUCCAGCCCCUAAUGUAACCGUUCUCAAGGACAGCUGAUGCUCGUUUUCCUCAUCAUCUACUUUGAACUGAUAUUCCUUCUCUGCUUUAAGCUCGCAGCCGAAGAGGAAGGUCUGCGGGCGCAGCGGGCCCAUGCUCUCCAUGUCCAUGGCGCUGUCCUCCAUCUUCUCGGCCUGCUCGCGCGGGAGGAGCUGUACGGGAUGCGGCGCUGCGGACGGACGCGCACUAAAG